CAGCAGAGUUGAAUAGUAGUUGCAGAGAUCUUGUGGCUCACAAAGCUUAGAACAUUUGCUUUCUGUUUUUCUGCAGAAAGAGAUUGCUGACCCAAGUUUCAUGAGAAUGGUCUUAAGGGCCACUCAUCUGUUCCAAGAAUCUGUUCAAUCUCUUUGUCAUUCGUUCACCUGUUCCUUCAUUUAUUUUUCCAUCAAAAAUUUACUGAGUUCCUUUUUAGUAUCAAGCAAGGCACCAGGGUUAUAGGGGCAAAAAAAUUUAGAGGAUUACUAGAAGCACAACAGAAAGAGCAAAGAAGGAGGAUAUUACAGGAAGAAGGAACAUGUGCCUGAUGAUAAUAAUGACCACUCUUUAGUUAAUAAUUAAUAUCAUCACUUCUAGUUUAUAUGCAACAUGAGGCAAGCAUUGUGCUAAGCCCUUUAUGCGAUUACAUCAUUACAUCCUCAGAGCAACUCUUUCAGGAAGGUUAAUCAUAAUUAAUCAAAUUUUAUAGAUGAAGAAACUGAGAUUUAAAAGUGGCUGUGUAACCUAUCCAAGGCACAGAGCUAAGCAGCGCUGUCAUCAGGAUUCAACUCAGGUCCACCUUAUUGCAAAGUCCCUCUAACUAUACUGGGUAGGCGCUUUCAUAAGCAUUGUACUGACUCAAGCAUCUAACAAUAUGCAUUAUUACUAGAAUUUUAAAGUAUGCUUGUGAUUGACGUGAUAUCCAUAGGAUAAUUCUUGACAUCAACAAUGUUGAGAGUCGUGGGGUUCAUUUAUUUUUGGAUUAAUUUAUACUAACAGGGGCGUAAGGGACCCGGAAUAUUCUUUUCUUCCCAGGAAAACGGUAAUUAUGACAGAAGAGUGCCCUUCCUUGCUCCACAUUCAGUCCCCCCUGGGUGGAGAAAAUGAGGCAGAUCCACUGGUAAUGGAUUUGGGGGUAUGGUUUGAAUUCAUAGCUUAACUUUUCCAUCUACAUGUUAUAAUGCUUCCUCUUUGUUAUUUUUAAAAUUUAAUUUUUAGUAUGUUCUAAAUAGCUAGAUGUGAAAUUUCUCUUCUGUUAUAUCUAUCUUAGGUAUUAUUAGAUUCAGUUUUAUAUAAGUACACAGGAAAAUGAGACUCAGAAUUAUAAUAAUCUGACUAAAAUCAUGCAAAGUCGUAGGUGAUAGAAAAGAGGAUUUACAGCCAAGUUUGUCAUUAUAAAAUAAAUAAAAAUAAACAAACAAAUGCAGAACACUUUGUACCCUAAUAUGUGUCAUAUGCAUAUUAAAAUUAUGGAAUGGUGAGUGUUUCAGUGUGUCUGGGUAAAAGACAAAUGAGUAAGAACAGCAGGAAAUGAAAGGUCUAUCAUAUUCUUCAAUUCCAGGCUACUCUGGGGUUUACCUGGGGCAGCUUAUAAUUUCACUUCUCAAAGGAAACCAAUUCAUUAGCGAAAAGCUUUAUGUGUACAUCUCCUUUAUUAAUACCGUUUUUUUCUCCUUCUUGAUCUUUCGAAUAAGGAGUAUUUAAGAAGCCUGUACUUCUUACCCUUUGCCCUCUCCAUCAGCAUUGUGGCUCGCUGUUCUGUAUGUCCCCUUCUGUCUUUAACAAAGUUUAAGACUUGCAAUUAUGCCAUUGAUCGGAGGGGUGGGGAACAGUUAUGAAUCUCUUCCCCUUCCAUGCCCUGGGCGGGUUCAAUAUACAAUGCUUCUUCUUGCCAUUACAUAAGGAUGAGUUAGGAUGUCUCCAGAAUUUGGAUGUAAAGUUAAAACAGGAAGUAUUUUGAAAUAGAUGGGAUUAGCUUCUGGAAUGUGACUUAUUUUAAGAGAUCCAUUCAUCUUUGGCUAAUUGAAAAUACCUAAUUCCAGUUAGGAUUUGCAAGGCAGUGUCUCAUGAAAAUAUGAGCAAACUUAAAGUAUUUUGUGACUCCUCCAAGCUCAUUGUAAACUUUCUUAAGGGGAAAAAAUUUUUUUAAAUCAAAGAUACAGUAUCUCUGUGAAAAAGGAAAGAUGAAAGCAGGAUUAAUUUACUUCUACUCAGAAUGGACAUAGAAUCCUUAGGAAAAAGAAUGCGUUAUUUUCAGUAAAGCUGUAUCCUUAGUUGUGUGGAAAGGUUUUUUUUUUUUUUUAAUUUCAAAUUUCCCCAUGAUUUAUUUAUUUAUUUAUCUAUUUAGUCUUUUUAGUGCUAUACCCCCGGCAUUUGUAAAUCCCCAGGCUAGGGGUCUAAUCGAAGCUACAGCUGCUAGUCUACGCCACAGCCAUAGCAAUGCCAGAUCCGAGCUGCAUCUGCGACCUACACCACAGCUCACAGUAACGCCGGAUACUUAACCCACUGAGUGAGUCGAGGAUUCGAACCCGCAACAUCAUGGUUCCUAUUUGGAUUCAUUUCUGGAGCUCCUGUUGUGGCUCAGAGGUAACAAAUCUGACUAGCAUCCAUGAGGACAUGGGUUCUAUCCCUGGCCUUGCUCAGUGGGUUAGGGAUCCAGUGUUGCUGUGAGCUGUGGUGUAGGUCACAGGCAUGGCUCAGAUCUGGCAUUGCUGUGGCUGUGGCAUAGGCUGGCUGUGGCUCCAAUUUGACCCCUAGCCUGGGAACCUCCAUAUGCCAUUGGUGCAGCCCUAAAAAGCAAACAAAAAAACUGAAAAAAAGAAAAAGGGGGGAAAAAAAACCCCAGAACCUACUAAUUAGUGCUUAUGACACUACUGAUGAAAACAUUAGCUGAUAGACUGAUGUAUGCUUCAUUUUUGACUGUGGAACCCAGUCUCUAUCUUGAUGAUAGAAAGAAAGCUAGGAGUAAAGUAAGAACAAUCAGUUUUCAUACUGCAUUUCUCAUUGAGGUGAAACCAAGAGAUUAGAUGAGUUUUAGUAGUGUUGCUUACUUCAGCAGAUCAACUGUCUAAAUAAAAGAAUGCCUAAUUCCAUUUGUCUAUUCGUUAGGAUUUGGCAUCACUCCAAAGUUCAGUUCUUUAGAUGAUUUUAUUUUGAACUGUCCAUACAAACUCAUUUUUAAUGAGAGAUGACCUCUCAGAUCCCCCGUACAGUCUCAUUGGAUGCGAUUUUAGUCCGAGUUGAGAGGCUCACAUCAGUCAGAGCUACUAGUAUACUUCAUCAGUCUUGUUAAUGAGCUGACUAUUGGCCUCUCUCUGGUGUGACAUCCUGGCACCCUUGAUCUUUUAUAGAAAGGAAUUAGUGCUGGCAUUCAGUGGAAAGCUCCAAAUGGGCUUAAUUGGAAUUUUUCAGGGUAAGAUAGAAGGUUCAAUUUUUAGCUUAAUGAUGAAGCUGGGACUAUAAACAUACCAGAUUUGAGUUCAGUGAAGGUAAUUACAUGGGCAAAAAUGAAAGCACAAUUAGGCUAUCCCAGCAUCUACUAAAGUGCAAUUAUUGAGAACACGAACCUGGAGAAAAUAGAUUCAUUCUUUAAAUUUGUUCUUUAAAUUUUAACAUUCCUCCCAGGUUUGCUUCUCUUAUUUUCACCCACGGGGAUGGGGGGCAGGGAGUGGGGAGUGGGAAGAAGUAUCCAAGACAUUUCCCAAAGGAUAGUUUCUACUGUUCUUUCUUUCAUAAGGAAUAUAGUGUUAAAGAGUAGACCUAAAAAUGUAUACCUCAAAAGAGAGAGAUUUUUUUUUUUGUCUUUUUGUCAUUUCUUAGGUCGCUCCCACCGCAUGUGGAGGUUCCCAGGCUCGGGGUCUAAUCGGAGCUGUAGCUGCCAGCUUAUGCCAGAGCCACAGCAAUGCUGGAUCCGAGCUGCAUCUGCGAUUCACACCAUGGCUCAAGGCAAUGCCAGAUCCUUAACCCACUGAGCAAGGCCAGGGAUUGAACCCACAACCUCAUGGUUCCUAAUUGGAUUCCCUAACCACUGAGCCACGACAGAAACUCCUUUAUUUUUAUUUUUAUUUUUUUUGUCUUAAGAGAUGGCUUUUAAGAAAGUAUCUUUCCCUCUCUUUUGCAAAUAAUGAAGUGAGAAACUUGAGAGAAGUAUGUUUUUGUGUGCUAUUUGUUGAAUUGAAGGAAUAGUCAGGAUGUAGAAAAGAAAAAUGAAUCACCAUACAAGUUUGACGGAUUUGGCCAGGUUGAUUAUUUCCCAGUUUAAUUACUGAUGAAUCAAUUGGUCUCUCACAUGUAAGACAAUUCCAUCUAAUUGUUAAACCAUCCCCAGGGUCUGGACCACAAGAUGCUUAGCCCAAUCACUUUGAUUCUUAGAAUGAUUAAAUGAAGUUGAGUUUGUGAUAAGCUCUGGACUGUGGCACCCACUGUAGCAAUUAAAAUAUAUACAUGGCAAUUUUUGUUUGAAAUACGAAAUGGUGAAAUGUCAAUUUGACAGAGUAGUUAGCUUGUGAGCAAAGUGAAGGUAUACAUUGUCAAGGCAAUUUGAAUUUGUUUAAAAUUUGGUGAUGGUAGUAUCCUUCCUGCCAGAGGAUUAAUGUGUGAAGACGAUAUGGUUCCUCCUCCUAGUUAUCUUCCACGGAACAAACUGAGUCUUCUCAGGUUCUUUGUGUACCGGCUCAACUCACACUGGACGUGCGAUAUCAUGAACCGUCUUGUACGUCCUUUUAAUCAUCAAAUAUACAUAUACAUACACGUAUGUAUACUUUCCUCCAAAUAUUAAAUUUGGUAAAAAAUUUUAUACUCUUUUUUUCAGUGAAGCAUACAUAUGCCUAAGUAUAGGAAGUAAGACUGAGAAGCGAAAUCAUUACUUUUCCUAGAUUGCAUUCAGGAACUGAAUUUUUCCAAACAUUUUCAUCCAUUGUAUUUUUUUCCUGAUGUUAUGAAAGAUUUUACCUACUGAAUCAACUGCAUUUACUAGGUAACAAAAAUAAUAGUUUUCUAAUCACCAUGUAUGUUUAAUUUUAUAUUAUUUUGUUUAAUCCAAAAGACACUUUUAGAAGGUUCAUGUCACUACUGUUUUCAUCUUUUAAAGGAGAAAAAGAAAGUUAAUUAAUUUAUCCAGCAUUGUGCAAUACUUAAGUGGCUGAAGCAAUGAGUCUUUUUCUUUCUCAGGAGAAGCAUAUGUACAGUUAACAGUUUGCAUACUAGAGUCAGACAAAUUUAGAUUUUAAUUCUUAUUCCAUUACUUCCUGGCUAUGCAACCUUGGGCAAGAUACUUAAUUUGCUUUUCUAACCCUUGGUGAAUUCAUUUCUAAAAGGGGAUAAUAAUAGCAGUACCCCCUGGGAUGAAUUCAUGAGAUUUAAAUGGGAUAAUGCAUGCAAUUUUUUUUAGUGCCAUGCUUGGAAAAUUUCAAAUUCUCAAAAUGUAUUUAUAUUAUUUCUGGUAUAAAGUUAGUAGAAAUUUAGCUCGGGGAAAGUACCUGAUAUUUUGAGCUUGCUUGUGCAUUCUUAAUGUGAGUCUGUGUAUGUGAACCUAAGCUUUUUGACAUACAAAACAAUCUUAGAAUUCCUUAGAAUGUGGAAAGCCAUGCUGGAAACUUUUUCUAACAGCAUGGCUUAUCGGUUUGUUUGUUUGUUUGUUUUAGAUUUCUUGACCCAUUAAAUAUUGCCAAAAUUUCCACUUCAAGAUGGGCAUGAAUAAAUGCACUAAUGAUGGAGUAAGAGCUGACCAUACCAAUGAAAAGAUGCCCACAUAGGUAGACAUUUAAGAGGGGACUUUAAAAAUCCCACUUUCAUACUUUUAAUUUACAGGAGGCAUUGUGAGUAGAAAUCCUCAGAGGGGGUUCAGAUUAAAUGAUAGAUUCAAAAAGUACAGACAGUGGUAUUUGUUUGCUAAGUCUGACAUAACAAAGUGUCACCAAAUGAGUGACUUAAACAACUGGAAAUUUGUUGAAGGCUCAGUGUCUGAGGUCAAGGCAUUGGCUGGGUGGUGGGGCAGACUGUUCCGUGUCUCUUCCCUAACUUUUGGUGGUCGCUGGCCAUUUUCUCAUUGCUUGGUUGGUGGAAGUAUCACUCCUAUCUCUGCCUUCAUUAUCACAUGGCAUUUUUCCUGUAUGUUCUCCAGAUCCAAAUUUCCCCUUUUUAUAAGCACACAUUAGGGGUCCACUCUCUUCUUCUUCUUCCCCCUUUUUUUUUUUUAAGCAAUUAGACACCUUUAUUUUAUUCUGCCUUUUUUGGCCACCACGUGGCAUAUGGAGUUCCUGGGUCAGGGAUCAGACCUGAGCCACAGCCACAGCAAUGCUGGAUUCUUAAUCCACUGUGGUGGGUCAGGGAUCGAACCUGCGUCCCAGUGCUCCCAAGACCCUUCCGAUCCCAUUGUGCCACAGCAGGAACUCUUCACUCUAUUCUAUUAUGACCUCUUUUAAGCUUAACUUAUUAUCUCAGCAGUGACCCUAUUCAGAAGGUCACAUACUCAGGUACUAGGGGCUAGGUCUUCAAAAUAGAAAUAUUGGGGGAACACAGUUCAGUCCAUAACAGCCAUCAUCCCAGAUCAAUCUGAAGAGUAAAUUUUAUAAAGGCAAGAUUGGUGUAAUCGGGACAAUUGUGGUUUGGAUUUAUUUAAGUUAGAAGUUACUUUCAGGAAAGAUAACCUAAUAUUUAAAUGGCAAAAAUGCAUCUGUAGGGGUUCCCUGGUGGAGCAGCAGGUUAAGGAUCUAGCGUUGUCACUGCUGUGAUAUGGGUUCAGUCCUGGGCCUCAGAAUUUCCACAUGCCUUGGGUAUGGCCAAAA
rnacentral:lncRNA from 1 species